rnacentral:rRNA from 1 species
UACGUAGGUGGCAAGCGUUGUCCGGAUUUACUGGGCGUAAAGAGCGCGCAGGCGGUCGUUCAGGUCGCGUGUGAAAGCCCCCGGCUCAACUGGGGAGGGUCACGCGAUACUGAUCGACUCGAAGGCAGGAGAGGGGUGAGUGGAAUUCCCGGUGUAGUGGUGAAAUGCGUAGAUAUCGGGAGGAACACCAGUGGCGAAGGCGACUACCUGGCCUGUUCUUGACGCUGAGGCGCGAAAGCUAAGGGGAGCAAACGGGG